rnacentral:rRNA from 1 species
UACGUAGGGUGCAAGCGUUGUCCGGAAUUAUUGGGCGUAAAGAGCUCGUAGGCGGUUUUGUCGCGUCUGCUGUGAAAACCCCGAGGCUCAACCUCGGGCCUGCAGUGGGGUACGGGGCAGACUAGAGUGCGGUAGGGGGAGAUUUGGAAUUCCUGGUGUAGCGGUGGAAUCGCAGAUAUCAGGAGGAACACCGGUGGCGAAG